UUUGCCAGGAAAAACAGAACUCCUUGGCUUCAGCGUCAGAGCCACUUGCAUGGGCCGCUAGUCCCAUCAGACGGCGUGCGCGCCUCUGCCUUCUUAUUGGCCUGAGUCUCCAGGGUCUUUUUGGUGUCUAAAACGCUGGUUUCAGAACACGGAGGAGAGAGAGACGCCCUUGCAAAGAUCCCUAAAGGUUUGGUAACCACUCUGCUUGCUGCGCUUGGAUUGAGGAAGCAAAUAUUGGAGGUCAAAAUUAAUUGAGUUUAACGUUACGAAAGGCAAAUUGCACAUUUCUAUUCCUUGAUGGUUUUUAAUGUAUAGCCAAAAUUCAAGAGAAUAAAAGCUUCUUUUCCAUCAAGAGAUUUUCUAAUUGAAAAAAAAAAAAAAGUAAAGCUUUUCUGAUUCAAUUUGAAACACUAACAUUUUAAUUUAUCAGCUCAAUUGGAUACGUUUCACUUCCUUUUAA
rnacentral:lncRNA from 1 species